AACGAACGCUGGCGGCAGGCUUAACACAUGCAAGUCGAGCGCCCCGCAAGGGGAGCGGCAGACGGGUGAGUAACGCGUGGGAACGUACCUUUUGGUUCGGAACAACUCCGGGAAACUGGAGCUAAUACCGGAUAAGCCCUAACGGGGAAAGAUUUAUCGCCGAAAGAUCGGCCCGCGUCUGAUUAGCUAGUUGGUGAGGUAACGGCUCACCAAGGCGACGAUCAGUAGCUGGUCUGAGAGGAUGAUCAGCCACACUGGGACUGAGACACGGCCCAGACUCCUACGGGAGGCAGCAGUGGGGAAUAUUGGACAAUGGGCGCAAGCCUGACCCAGCCAUGCCGCGUGAGUGAUGAAGGCCUUAGGGUUGUAAAGCUCUUUUGUCCGGGAAGAUAAUGACUGUACCGGAAGAAUAAGCCCCGGCUAACUUCGUG
rnacentral:rRNA from 1 species